GUCCGCUUUAUCAGUCGACGUCCAUUUGGUCCGAUGGAAAAAAUUCAGCAUGUUCAAAACUUUGAACGGACGUUCAACGGACGAAGUGUACGGUAAGCGUCCGGUUUUUACAAUACUCGUUCGUUUUGUAUCCGUUAUUUGUCUUAUACUAAGGUAUAUACGUCUUUACACUAAAUCCAUUGGAUGUUGGAUGUGUACGGAUUGAUAGUU
rnacentral:lncRNA from 1 species